AUACCUACGGGGGGCAGCAGUGGGGAAUAUUGCACAAUGGGGGAAACCCUGAUGCAGCGACGCCGCGUGAGUGAAGAAGUAUUUCGGUAUGUAAACCUCUUUUGCCGGGGAGCAAAGAGCGGGACGCGUCCCGCCUCGAGAGUACCCGGAGAAAAAGCAUCGGCUAACUCCGUGCCAGCAGCCGCGGUAAUACGGAGGAUGCGAGCGUUAUCCGGAUUUAUUGGGUUUAAAGGGUGCGCAGGCGGCACGGCAAGCCGGCGGUCAAAUUGCGGGGCUCAACCCCGCCCAGCCGUCGG
rnacentral:rRNA from 1 species